GUCCCGUCGGCAUGGUAAGGGAGAAGCAGCGCCCUCUCCAAGCCAUCAAAGUAGAAAGGCUGGACAAAGCGGCAGUACCCGACAUACCAAAGGACGCUAUUAAGCCAGAAGUGAAAAGUAACAUUUUCAAUUUAUUCUUCACAUCUCCAUUGAAUGGGCUUUCUGACUUCUUCGCUCACCCUUAGAUGGCAUGCAGCUAGUUCUCAUCUCAGUGUUAUGAUUUCAAUAAAUAGUAAGCAAAUAACUACCGUUGGUGAAGGUGAUGGGACAAACUAUCACUUCCGAGGCGAUCUGGA